UUGGAGGGCAAGUCUGGUGCCAGCAGCCGCGGUAAUUCCAGCUCCAAUAGCGUAUAUUAAAGUUGUUGCAGUUAAAAAGCUCGUAGUUGAAUUUCGGGAUCAAAUUGUUGGUCGUGCUUCGGUACGCACUGGCAUUAUUGGUUCCUACCUUCUGAAGAACCGCGAUGUCAUUAAUUUGGUGUCGUGGGGAAUCAGGACUGUUACUUUGAAAAAAUUAGAGUGUUUAAAGCAGGCUUACGCUUGAAUACAUUAGCAUGGAAUAAUGAAAUAGGACGUUUGAUUCUAUUUUGUUGGUUUCUAGGAUCGACGUAAUGAUUAAUAGGGAUAGUUGGGGGCAUUAGUAUUCAAUUGUCAGAGGUGAAAUUCUUGGAUCUAUUGAAGACUAACUACUGCGAAAGCAUUUGCCAGGGAUGUUUUCAUUAAUCAAGAACGAAAGUUAGGGGAUCGAAGACGAUCAGAUACCGUCGUAGUCUUAACCAUAAACUAUGCCGACUAGGGAUCGGAUGAUGUUAAUUUUUUAAUGACUCAUUCGGCGCCUUACGGGAAAC
rnacentral:rRNA from 1 species